AGCUUUUCUCAGUGGCAGUAUCGUAGCCAAUGAGGUUUAUCCGAGGCACGAUUAUUGCUAAUUCAUUGGUGCUCUAUUCACAGUAGCUAGGAAAUGAUCAUCAACCACCUAAAUGAUCAUCAACUGAUGAAUGGACACUAAAAAUGUAC
ensembl:snRNA LOC120093504 U4 spliceosomal RNA